CUGUACGUAGCGCAGUCUGGUAGGCUACUUCUUUUGGAUAGAAGAUGUCGAAGGUUCGAAUCCUUCCGUACAGA
rnacentral:tRNA from 1 species